GGAAGGAGCUGGCAUUUGUUGGGAAAGGGCAAAAAGACCAGCCAGAAGGCCACUGAGGACCCGCUCUGGUGUCCAGGGAGCUGAGGGCCCUGGGGGAGGAGGGCAGGAAUGGUCAUUACACCAGUUCUCCCCGCUUCUGUGCCAGGGGCCUCGGAUCCAUGAUGAGGAGGCUGGAAAUGAUUGGAGAGUGAGACCAGUCAAGGCCUUGAUGUAUUGCAUAACAUCCUCUAAUCCUAGGGAAGGGUCAAAGAUAGAAGCCAAAGGAUCAUACCAAUGAAACACAUUUCUAGACCAUCGGUGUUAAAGAUGGGGGUCCAAAGAUGAGGGUUUGAGACAGUGACAGAUGCCAUUCCAUACCAUAUGGAGAAGAGUCCUGGUGAGGACAAGUACACUCCUUCUAAUGGCUCAGUGCCUUCAUUUGGGAAAGGAACUGACUCUGACCCCAUAUUACACUGCUCUGGGCAGAUAAGUAAACUGGGAC
rnacentral:lncRNA from 1 species